rnacentral:rRNA from 1 species
AGCAGCCGCGGUAAUUCCAGCUCCAAUAGCGUAUAUUAAAGUUGUUGCAGUUAAAAAGCUCGUAGUUGAAUUUCGGGAUCAAAGGAUCGGUCAUGCCUUGGUAUGUACUGGUUUUAUUGGUUCUCACCUUCUAAAGAACCAUAAUGUCAUUCAUUUGAUGUUAUGGGGAAUUAGGACUGUUACCUUGAAAAAUUAGAGUGUUUAAAGCAGGCUUACGCUUGAAUACAUUAGCAUGGAAUAAUGAAAUAGGACAUCAGAUUCUAUUUGUUGGUUUCUAGGAUCGAUGUAAUGAUUAAUAGGGGAUAGUUGGGGGCAUUAGUAUUCAAUUGUCAGAGUGAAAUUCUUGGAUUUAUUGAAGACUAACUACUGCGAAAGCAUUUGCCAAGGAUGUUUUCAUUAAUCAAGAACGAAAGUUAGGGGAUCGAAGACGAUCAGAUACCGUCGUAGUCUUAACCAUAAACUAUGCCGACUAGGGAUCGGAUGAUGUUAAUUUAUAAUGACUCAUUAC